UGUAUAAUGGGUCAGCGACUUAUAUUCUGUAGCAAGGUUAACCGAAUAGGGGAGCCGAAGGGAAACCGAGUCUUAACUGGGCGUUAAGUUGCAGGGUAUAGACCCGAAACCCGGUGAUCUAGCCAUGGGCAGGUUGAAGGUUGGGUAACACUAACUGGAGGACCGAACCGACUAAUGUUGAAAAAUUAGCGGAUGACUUGUGGCUGGGGGUGAAAGGCCAAUCAAACCGGGAGAUAGCUGGUUCUCCCCGAAAGCUAUUUAGGUAGCGCCUCGUGAAUUCAUCUCCGGGGGUAGAGCACUGUUUCGGCAAGGGGGUCAUCCCGACUUACCAACCCGAUGCAAACUGCGAAUACCGGAGAAUGUUAUCACGGGAGACACACGGCGGGUGCUAACGUCCGUCGUGAAGAGGGAAACAACCCAGACCGCCAGCUAAGGUCCCAAAGUCAUGGUUAAGUGGGAAACGAUGUGGGAAGGCCCAGACAGCCAGGAUGUUGGCUUAGAAGCAGCCAUCAUUUAAAGAAAGCGUAAUAGCUCACUGGUCGAGUCGGCCUGCGCGGAAGAUGUAACGGGGCUAAACCAUGCACCGAAGCUGCGGCAGCGACGCUUAUGCGUUGUUGGGUAGGGGAGCGUUCUGUAAGCCUGUGAAGGUGUGCUGUGAGGCAUGCUGGAGGUAUCAGAAGUGCGAAUGCUGACAUAAGUAACGAUAAAGCGGGUGAAAAGCCCGCUCGCCGGAAGACCAAGGGUUCCUGUCCAACGUUAAUCGGGGCAGGGUGAGUCGACCCCUAAGGCGAGGCCGAAAGGCGUAGUCGAUGGGAAACAGGUUAAUAUUCCUGUACUUGGUGUUACUGCGAAGGGGGGACGGAGAAGGCUAUGUUGGCCGGGCGACGGUUGUCCCGGUUUAAGCGUGUAGGCUGGUUUUCCAGGCAAAUCCGGAAAACCAAGGCUGAGGCGUGAUGACGAGGCACUACGGUGCUGAAGUGACAAAUGCCCUGCUUCCAGGAAAAGCCUCUAAGCAUCAGGUAACAUCAAAUCGUACCCCAAACCGACACAGGUGGUCAGGUAGAGAAUACCAAGGCGCUUGAGAGAACUCGGGUGAAGGAACUAGGCAAAAUGGUGCCGUAACUUCGGGAGAAGGCACGCUGAUAUGUAGGUGAAGCGACUUGCUCGUGGAGCUGAAAUCAGUCGAAGAUACCAGCUGGCUGCAACUGUUUAUUAAAAACACAGCACUGUGCAAACACGAAAGUGGACGUAUACGGUGUGACGCCUGCCCGGUGCCGGAAG
rnacentral:rRNA from 1 species